rnacentral:rRNA from 1 species
UCCGUAGGCGGUGCGGCAAGUCGGGAGUGAAAUCUCUGGGCUUAACUCAGAGGCUGCUUCCGAAACUGCCGUGCUGGAGCGUGGGAGAGGCGAGUGGAAUUGCAGGUGUAGCGGUGAAAUGCGUAGAUAUCUGCAGGAACACCCGUGGCGAAGGCGGCUCGCUGGACCACAACUGACGCUGAGGGACGAAAGCUAGGGGAGCAAACAGGAUUAGAUACCCUGGUAGUCCUAGCCCUAAACCAUCAGGACUUGGCGUGGCCCGCGUCCGUGGGUCGUGCCGAAGCUAACGCGAUAAGUCCUGCGCCUGGGGAGUACGGUCGCAAGACUGAA